rnacentral:miRNA from 1 species
UUGACCAAAAAGUUUGUUUGGGUUUUUUUCGUAAGGUAUUACAGAAAAACCUGAAUGAACCUUUUUUGGCCAGGCCAAU